GUGAGGAAUAUUGCGCAAUGGAGGCAACUCUGACGCAGCCAUGCCGCGUGCAGGAUGAAGGCGUUAUGCGUUGUAAACUUCUUUUGUAUGGGAAGAAUGACAGGGAUUUAUCCUUGGAGAGACGGUACCAUACGAAUAAGCACCGGCUAACUCCGUGCCAGCAGCCGCGGUAAUACGGAGGGUGCAAGCGUUAUCCGGAAUCACUGGGUUUAAAGGGUACGUAGGCGGUUAAUUAAGUCAGUAGUGAAAGACUGUCGCUCAACGACGGAUGUGCUAUUGAUACUGGCUAACUUGAAUCAGGUUAGAGUUGGCGGAAUGGGUCAUGUAGCGGUGAAAUGCUUAGAUAUGACUUGGAACACCGAUAGCGAAGGCAGCUGACUGAGCCUUGAUUGACGCUGAGGUACGAAAGUGUGGGUAGCGAACAGGAUUAGAUACCCUGGUAGUCC
rnacentral:rRNA from 1 species